CUCCCAAGCCAGCCACCACAUUCCUGCCUCCUCUGUCAGAAGCCACAACAGCCAUGGGGUACCACCUGAAGACCCUCACACUCAACUUCACCAUCUCCAAUCUCCAGUAUUCACCAGAUAUGGGCAAGGGCUCAGCUACAUUCAACUCCACCGAGGGGGUCCUUCAGCACCUGCUCAGACCCUUGUUCCAGAAGAGCAGCAUGGGCCCCUUCUACUUGGGUUGCCAACUGAUCUCCCUCAGGCUAUGCACCCCAGAAUUUAUCAAUCCGGGGCGAGUACCAGAUAAAUUUCCACAUUGUCAACUGGAACCUCAGUAAUCCAGACCCCACAUCCUCAGAGUACAUCACCCUGC
rnacentral:lncRNA from 1 species